rnacentral:lncRNA from 1 species
UUAUGAUUUGAGAACAGCUUUUCCUGAAUAUGGUUUGCUCUUUCAUUUUCUUAAUGGCAUCUUUAGAUGUGUAUAACUUUUUAAAUUUUAUGAAGUACGAGAUCAGAUCAAUAAUAACCAGAGACUUCCCUAGUCUCAAUUUCCAGCCAUAGGGCAUAUUAGUCUAAUUGUGUUGUUUAGAUAAUAUCCAGAUUGGCAAACAAAAAGGAGGGUCAGGGAUAGGUACAUAUGCAUUUUUAAAGUCCUUCUGGACUACAUACAUUGGUUGUCAUUCUCUGACCAUAAGUUUUCUGGAUGCCUUCUUCAAAAUGGAAGAGUCCCUUUAAUUCCAGAGUGCAGUUCUUUGGAAAUGAGGGCAACUGGUCCUUUGGGAAGGAAAGGCAAUUUAGCAAUUUAGAAUUGACUUAAGGAAAGUUGCUCACACAUUCACCUCCUUUGGGUCUUCAUUUGUUGGGAAGCAUUUGUGUUGGGUAAACUAUCCCCCCAACCUUGGAGGCUAUUUUGUGAAUUAAGUGUGUUUCUGGCCCAGCAAACAACUUGUUAUAAGGUGAGUAAGAAGGAACAAAGAUUUUCAUACCUGUCUGGGGAAGUGUGAGUCAGUUGUGGAUUCCACCUUAUCUGCUUGAGGCAGUUCUGCCACUUUGAUUGUCUUUUGUGGCUGACUAAUGAUGGAUACUUUGG